GACGAACGCUGGCGGCGUGCUUAACACGUGCAAGUCGAACGAAGAGCGAUGGAAGCUUGCUUCUAUCAAUCUUAGUGGCGAACGGGUGAGUAACGCGUAAUCAACCUGCCCUUCAGAGGGGGACAACAGUUGGAAACGACUGCUAAUACCGCAUACGAUCUAAUCUCGGCAUCGAGGAUAGAUGAAAGGUGGCCUCUACAUGUAAGCUAUCACUGAAGGAGGGGAUUGCGUCUGAUUAGCUAGUUGGAGGGGUAACGGCCCACCAAGGCGAUGAUCAGUAGCCGGUCUGAGAAGAUGAACGGCCACAUUGGGACUGAGACACGGCCCAGACUCCUACGGGAGGCAGCAGUGGGGAAUCUUCCGCAAUGGACGAAAGUCUGACGGAGCAACGCCGCGUGAGUGAUGACGGCCUUCGGGUUGUAAAGCUCUGUUAAUCGGGACGAAAGGCCUUCUUGCGAACAGUUAGAAGGAUUGACGGUACCGGAAUAGAAAGCCACGGCUAACUACGUG
rnacentral:rRNA from 1 species